rnacentral:rRNA from 1 species
UACGUAGGUGGCAAGCGUUGUCCGGAAUCAUUGGGCGUAAAGCGCGCGUAGGUGGCUUGUCAGGUCCGAUGUGAAAUCCUGGGGCUCAACUCCAGGCGUGCAUUGGAAACCGGCUUGCUAGAGUCUGGGAGAGGAGAGUGGAAUUCCUGGUGUAGCGGUGAAAUGCGUAGAUAUCAGGAGGAACACCGGUAGCGAAGGCGGCUCUCUGGAACAGUACUGACACUGAGGCGCGAAAGCUAGGGGAGCGAACAGG